rnacentral:rRNA from 1 species
UACGGGGGGGGUAAGCGUUGUUCGGAAUUACUGGGCGUAAAGGGCUCGUAGGCGGCCAACUAAGUCAGACGUGAAAUCCCUCAGCUUAACUGGGGAACUGCGUCUGAUACUGGAUGGCUUGGAUCCGGGAGAGGGAUGCGGAAUUCCAGGUGUAGCGGUGAAAUGCGCAGAUAUCAGGAGGAACACCGGUGGCGAAGGCGGAUCUCUGGGCCAUUACUGACGCUGAGGAGCGAAAGCGUGGGGAGCGAACAGG